rnacentral:tRNA from 1 species
GCCGGGGUGGCGGAACAGGUAGACGCAAGGGACUUAAAAUCCCUUGGAGGUGAAUCCUCCGUGUCGGUUCGAGUCCGACCCUCGGCA